AGAGUUUGAUCCUGGCUCAGGAUGAACGCCGGCGGUGUGCCUAAUACAUGCAAGUCGUACGCACUGGCCCAGCUGAUUGAUGGUGCUUGCACCUGAUUGACGAUGGAUCACCAAUGAGUGGCGGACGGGUGACUAACACGGAGGAAACCUGCCUCAGAGGCGGGGGAUAACAUUUGGAAACAGAUGCUAAUACCGCAUAACAACAAAAGCCACAUGGCUUUUGUUUGAAAGAUGGCUUUGGCUAUCACUCUGGGAUGGACCUGCGGUGCAUUAGCUAGUUGGUAAGGUAACGGCUUACCAAGGCAAUGAUGCAUAGCCGAGUUGAGAGACUGAUCGACCACAAUGGAACUGAGACACGGUCCAUACUCCUACGGGAGGCAGCAGUAGGGAAUCUUCCACAAUGGGCGCAAGCGUGAUGGAGCAACACCGCGUGAGUGAAGAAGGGUUUCGGCUCGUAAAUCUCUGUUGUUGGAGAAGAACGUGCGUGAGAGUAACUGUUUACGCAGUGACGGUAUCCAACCAGAAAGUCAUGGCUAACUAAGUGCCAGCAGCCGCGGUAAUACGUAGGUGGCAAGCGUUAUCCGGAUUUAUUGGGCGUAAAGCGAGCGCAGGCGGUUGUUUAGGUCUGAUGUGAAAGCCUUCGGCUUAACCGAAGAAGUGCAUCGGAAACCGGGCGACUUGAGUGCAGAAGAGGACAGUGGAACUCGCAUGUGUAGCGGUGGAAUGCGUAGAUAUAUGGAAGAACACCAGUGGCGAAGGCGGCUGUCUGGUUUGCAACUGACGCUGAGGCUCGAAAGCAUGGGUAGCGAACAGGAUUAGAUACCCUGGUAGUCCAUGCCGUAAACGAUGAGUGCUAGGUGUUGGAGGGUUUCCGCCCUUCAGUGCCGGAGCUAACGCAUUAAGCACUCCGCCUGGGGAGUACGACCGCAAGGUUGAAACUCAAAGGAAUUGACGGGGGCCCGCACAAGCGGUGGAGCAUGUGGUUUAAUUGGAAGUUACGGGAAGACCCUUCCCAGGUCUUGACAUCUUGCGCUAACCUUAGAGAUAAGCCGUUCCCUUCGGGGAUGCAAUGACAGGUGGUGCAUGGUUGUUGUCAGCUCGUGUCGUGAGAUGUUGGGUUAAGUCCCGCAACGAGCGCACCCCUUGUUCCUAGUUGCCAGCAUUAAGUUGGGCACUCUAGUGAGACUGCCGGUGACAAACCGGAGGAAGGUGGGGACGACGUCAGAUCAUCAUGCCCCUUAUGUCCUGGGCUACACACGUGUUACAAUGGGCGGUACAACGAGUCGCAAGCUCGCGAGAGUAAGCUAAUCUCUUAAACCCGUUUUCAGUUCGGUCUGUAGGCUGCAACUCGCUUACAGGAAGUGGGAAUCGUUAGUAAUCGCGGAUCAGCAUGCCGCGGUGAAUACGUUCCCGGGCCUUGCACUCACCGCCCGUCA
rnacentral:rRNA from 1 species